GAGCACGUAGGUGGGUUUGUAAGUCAGACGUGAAAGCCUUCUGUUCAACGGAAGAAUUGCAUCUGAAACUACAAACCUUGAGUGUAGGAGGGGAGAAUGGAACUUCUGGUGGAGCGGUGAAAUGCGUAGAUAUCAGAAGGAACGCCGGCGGCGAAAGCGAUCCUCUGGCCUAUUACUGACACUCAGUGUGCGAAAGCUAGGGGAGCAAACGGGAUUAGAUACCCCGGUAGUCCUAGCCGUAAACGAUGGGCACUAAGUAGAGGGGUUUU
rnacentral:rRNA from 1 species